UAAUACGUAGGGUGCAAGCGUUGUCCGGAAUUAUUGGGCGUAAAGAGCUCGUAGGCGGCUUGUCACGUCUGCUGUGAAAACUCGGGGCUCAACCCCGAGCCUGCAGUGGAUACGGGCUAGCUAGAGUGCGGUAGGGGAGACUGGAAUUCCUGGUGUAGCGGUGAAAUGCGCAGAUAUCAGGAGGAACACCGGUGGCGAAGGCGGGUCUCUGGACCGAUACUGACGCUGAGGAGCGAAAGCGUGGGGAGCGAACAGG
rnacentral:rRNA from 1 species